rnacentral:misc_RNA from 1 species
GUGAGUCAUCGAAUCUUUGAACGCAAAUUGCACUCUCUUCGGAGAGUAUGCCUGUUUGAGGGUCAGUAUUAAUAAAAAUCGGUGUGUUGCUCCUUUGUGACGCUCCGGAGUUUGGGUCAUCUUAAUAUCCUUUAANGGUUUUAAGAGGCUUAAAAUUGACUUUUUUUUGCGCAUUUUUUAGAUGUACAUAAAUCUUUUUUUUUAUUCGUCCGUCUUAAUGCUCAAGAUCCUAUUAGAUGCGACCAUAUCGAGUGGUUUCGUGUCUAUAAAAUUUUCAUGAUUUGACCUCAAAUCAGGUAG